rnacentral:rRNA from 1 species
UGGGGAAUAUUGGGCAAUGGGGGAAACCCUGACCCAGCAACGCCGCGUGAGGGAAGAAGGUCUUCGGAUUGUAAACCUCUGUCCUUGGGGACGAAGAAAGUGACGGUACCCAAGGAGGAAGCCCCGGCUAACUACGUGCCAGCAGCCGCGGUAAUACGUAGGGGGCUAGCGUUGUCCGGAAUUACUGGGCGUAAAGGGAGCGUAGGCGGCUCUGUAAGUUAUAUGUGAAAUACCCGUGCUUAACAUGGGGGCUGCAUGUAAUACUGCGGGGCUUGAGUGCAGGAGAGGAAAGUGGAAUUCCUAGUGUAGCGGUGAAAUGCGUAGAUAUUAGGAGGAACACCAGUGGCGAAGGCGACUUUCUGGACUGUAACUGACGCUGAGGCUCGAAAGCGUGGGGAGCAAACAGG